UGCCAUGAACACAAUUACAGCAACGCAUUCCCAGUUUCCACUUUAGAGAACAUGAGGGGUGAUGACAGAAAAGAAUUCUUUGCUGUUUCAAGAAUCGACUUAUGGAGAAAAUGAAACCGUGAUAAUUGAAUCAAAAUACUUUUGUCACAAAGUAAGCAUCUGGACGAUGGAUCCAGGGAAAGCCAUUAUAAGAAAGAAAUAGCCACUCUUUCUGGGGGAAGCCAUGUGAUAAGCAGCUCUGUGGAGAUGCCAGUGUGGUGAGGAACUGAAGCCUCCUUCCAGUAGCCCUGUGAAUGAGCUUAAAGGAAGAUUCCACAGCUGCGCAAAACUUCAAAUGGCUGACGCCGGGCUGACAGCUUGAUUGCCAUCUCAUGAGAGGUCCCAAAGCAGAACCACCCAGCAAAGUGACUCCUGGAUUUCUGACCCUAAGAAUUUGUGUGAGAUAAUAAAUAUUUGUUCUUUUAGGCUGCUAAGUUUUGAGAUAAUUUGUUUUGCAGCAAAAGGUCACUAAUUUACUACAUAAUUAGCACUAUUAUAUAAAAGUGAAGUGCGAACAACAAAGCAUUUUAGGGCAGAAAGGCAUGUUGUCCUCUUAAUGCUAAAAUCUGAAUGAAAGAGAGAUCUUAAACAGGAACAUUAUUUUGACGAAAGUGAUGUUGAAAAAGACCAUGGUAUUCAGUUGUAUAGACUGUGCUAUUCACAAGGGUGCCCGACCCAGGAUGUGAAAGAAGAUGAAAAUCAAACCCAUGCUCUGGUCUCCAAGCUGUGUGACCUGACUCAGAGUUGCAUCUACCCAGAAGCAGAAAUGCCUUUUUCUAACACACAAACAUUUAAUCUUCUUGCCAGGUUGUGUACCCAUGGGGUUUUGUCAGCCUUGAGAAGGCAUUUUUUUUUUUAAAUUAGUAAGCACAUUUUUUUUAAAAUUAGCACAAAGACACCAUAUGGGCUAGCAGUGGUUUCAAAGUUGGUGGGGGCAGGAGGAUUUAAAUCUUUUUGAAGGAGGUAGUUCUAGCUUCAAAUCCUGCCCACUUCAUAUGUUUUAUGUGUAUCUUCUGAUACGUUUUAUAACUUCAGUUUUCUCACUAGUAAAAUGAGAAGUGAGAACAAAAAUAUCUGCAUAAUUGGAUUAUGGCAAGAACCAUAUGAGAUAAUUUUUGAAAAGCGCCGAAUUCAGUUGGCGAGUACACCAUAGAUGAUCAAUACAUGCAGCUUUUCUAUCUCCUUUGCAUCUGCUUGAGUUUAGGCAGAAUAAAAAGGCUGUUUAUGGAAGAAACUGCAAGCUUGCCAAAUGAGUCAAAACUCAUAAUGUUUCCUAUUAUAGCAAUCACUAGGAGCGGAACCUAAAGAAAAAGCACAGCAGAAACUCCUGAACUAUUUACCUGUCAGCAUCACGAAAAUGGGACAAAUUGAUUAUGUAGGUAGGAAGAUAGGUUAAUAGCUAGGUUGGUAGACAGAUAGAUAACAGAUGAUAAAAAAUACAUAUAAAGUUUGUACUGAAUAUAUAUUAAAAAUGUAUCUAUGAGGUACUAACCUACAUUACUAUAUUCACCCUCAAAGCAGCUGUGUUGCUGUUGUACAGGUGUUUCAGUGCCUGCAGAACGAACCUCGUAAUGUCCUUCUUGGAAAUAUUAGCACCAGCUGUUUAGGAUCCCCCUGUCAGAAGUCUAUGUCCAGACCUGGGCAGGCUCCUCCGGUGAGCUGAGACACUAGGCCAGCUAAGCAGAGUCCUGCCUCAGAACUUUGUCUGUUCAUUCUAUAGGCCUCCUCUUCCAAGCUUCAAGGUUCUAAAAAUUCCAACCUAUUCCCUCUGUUUCCCCAGCCCUAGGAGUGUCCGUUGCUUCUCACAUUUGUCAUCUGUCUAUGAUACCUUAGUUUCCCCUUUUGCCUUUUCGAUUGCCAAGUUAACAACUUUACACGUAGUUUACAAUUUUUCAUAUGACAUUCUCUGUUAAUAAAACUGUGUGUGAUUUC